CUGCAAACUAGAUCACUAGAUCUGCAUGAUGUUGCAGAAUCAAGGGGAACACGUUUGCUAGAGAAAGCAGCAGUGGGAAAAUGGUAGCAUUGGUUUAUCCGGUCUACUAUAUUAUCCUA
rfam:Xenopus laevis strain J chromosome 1S, whole genome shotgun sequence.